GGGAAUAGUCUGGUAGUCCACCACGGGGUAGACCAAGGUGGUAGAUUGUGUGGAGGGGAUUACCGUACCUAGAGCUAGAUGGAUGAACACAAGGACACAGGGGACUUUACCAGGUUCGGCCACUAGAUUGGUGUAAUACCCUACGUCCUGUGCUCGGGGUUUGUAUUCUCAACGUACAACAUAUCGAAUAUGGCUUGGGUUUUUUAGGGGGUCCCUGCCGCCCUUAUAUAGUCUAGGGGGCAGGGUUAUAGAUCCGAUUCGAUCUAGUCCUAGUCGAUUACAAGGAAAUCUACUGCCUUUCGGUACAAGUUAUCUCUUUACAUAUUUGAAUGACCCUAUCUAUAACUAUAUCUCUAGAUGCCGAUCCUUCAUCUUUAUCUGCAUGCUUGUCUCGAGUGCACCUCGUACGGGCUGUGGUACCCCCUUUGGAGGGCAACCAGGCCCAUCCGAAUGGUACCGGGGUCGUAUCCCCCAC
rnacentral:lncRNA from 1 species